rnacentral:rRNA from 1 species
UGCAGUCGAGGGGUAACGGGGUGCUUGCACCGCCGACGACCGGCGCACGGGUGCGUAACGCGUAUGCAAUCUACCUUAUACUGGAGUAUAGCCCAGAGAAAUUUGGAUUAAUCCUUCAUAGUCUAUAUAUGUGGCAUCACAUUUAUAGUAAAGGUUACGGUAUAAGAUGAGCAUGCGUCCUAUUAGUUUGUUGGUGAGGUAACGGCUCACCGAGACUACGAUAGGUAGGGGCCCUGAGAGGGGGAUCCCCCACACUGGUACUGAGACACGGACCAGACUCCUACGGGAGGCAGCAGUGAGGAAUAUUGGACAAUGGGCGAGAGCCUGAUCCAGCCAUGCCGCGUGCAGGAAGACUGCCCUAUGGGUUGUAAACUGCUUUUAUACGGGAAGAAACACCCCCUCGUGAGAGGGCUUGACGGUACCGUAAGAAUAAGGAUCGGCUAACUCCGUGCCAGCAGCCGCGGUAAUACGGAGGAUCCAAGCGUUAUCCGGAAUCAUUGGGUUUAAAGGGUCCGUAGGCGGGCAGCUAAGUCAGUGGUGAAAGUCUGCAGCUCAACUGUAGAAUUGCCAUUGAUACUGGUUGUCUUGAAUUAGUGUGAAGUGGUUAGAAUAUGUAGUGUAGCGGUGAAAUGCAUAGAUAUUACAUAGAAUACCAAUUGCGAAGGCAGAUCACUAACACUAUAUUGACGCUGAUGGACGAAAGCGUGGGGAGCGAACAGGAUUAGAUACCCUGGUAGUCCACGCCGUAAACGAUGGAUACUAGCUGUUCGGACUUCGGUCUGAGUGGCUAAGCGAAAGUGAUAAGUAUCCCACCUGGGGAGUACGUUCGCAAGAAUGAAACUCGAAGGAAUUGACGGGGGCCCGCACAAGCGGUGGAGCAUGUGGUUUAAUUCGAUGAUACGCGAGGAACCCUUACAGGGCUUAAAUGU